UCUUCCUUGGUCUAGUGGUCAUGAUUUCCGCUUGUCAAUUGCUUUCCAGGCAUUAACGAGCGCGGGAGACCGGGGUUCGAUUCCCCGAGGGAGAG
rnacentral:tRNA from 1 species